rnacentral:rRNA from 1 species
CGAGCUUUUGCUCAGUCCAACGGACCCUACUUACCCAGUAGCUAAAGGUACAGUAUGGACCCUAAGUUGAGCCAGGCCCUAUAGACUGGACUACUUCCGGAACCGGAGCUAAUACCGGAUAAUAUUUCGAACCGCAGGGUUCGAUAGUGAAAGAUGGCUUUGCUAUCACUUAUAGAUGGACCUGCGCCGUAUUAGCUAGUUGGUAAGGUAACGGCUUACCAAGGCAACGAUACGUAGCCCACCUGAGAGGGUGAUCGGCCACACUGGAACUGAACACGUCUCCAAACUCCUACGGGAGGCAGCAGUAGGGAAUCUUCCACAAUGGGCGAAAGCCUGACGGAGCAACGCCGCGUGAGUGAUGAAGUCUUCGGAUCGUAAAAUCUGUGAUUAGGGGAGAACAACGUGGAAGUUACUGUGCGCCUCUUGACGGGACCUGAUGCAAAGAGCUCGGGCGAAGUUAGGGGGCAGGCUGCGGGGGAAAUCGGGGGACAAAGUGACAGGUGGUGCAUGGUUGUCGUCAGCUCGUGUCCUGAGAUGUUGGGUUAAGUGCCCGCAACGAGCGCAACCCUUAAGCUUAGUUGCCAUCAUUAAGUUGGGCACUCUAAGUUGACUGCCGGUGACAAACCGGAGGAAGGUGGGGAUGACGUCAAAUCAUCAUGCCCCUUAUGAUUUGGGCUACACACGUGCUACAAUGGACAAUACAAAGGGCAGCGAAACCGCGAGGUCAAGCAAAUCCCAUAAAGUUGUUCUCAGUUCGGAUUGUAGUCUGCAACUCGACUACAUGAAGCAGGAAUCGCUAGUAAUCGUAGAUCAGCAUGUUACGCUGAAUACGUUACGGGGUAACAAGGACACCAGC